rnacentral:lncRNA from 1 species
GAUUACUUCGUCCACAUUAUAUUUCAACCUUUCAAAUCUAUCUCAUGGAUUACCCUAGCCAAAGCUUUACUAAAUUAAAAUAUAGCGAUACAUUAACUCCAAUAAUUUCAUCUUGAUCCACACACAGACUUCACAAGUACUUGACUGUACCCAGUAGUCUUCCGUCACUGCAUUAGAAAUCCAGAUAGUCCAAUACCAAAGCACAAUAAGUUGCUUGCAAGUCACUAUGAUGAUCUC